GCCCACUGUUGGUAGCCCAGGUACUUCAUCUUCUGUUUUUGACAAUGCCAAUGUAAGUUCAUUGAACUUUCCUCAGUCAUCCACUUUGUGUGCACCAUACUGUGUGUGUCGUGACUGACACAGAAAAUACCCAUAUGUUUCCACAGCAGAGAACACAAAUGCCCAGGAAUGCUGUCAGGAAGGUCCUUGAGUGGCUUAGUAGCCAUAAGUAGUCAGCACUCCAUGGGCAUACAGAAAGAAUGGAAAGCAUUGGUCUAGCUAGGACCCUUGUCAAUAGCCUUGGCCCUCCAGCCAAGGGCCACCAGGAACACACACGUAGUAGAACAAGUCGAUUUUAGUACUUGUUGCAGUGAAGGAGAAAGCACACUAUGGGACCUAUGGUGGCAUCUCGGCAAGGAGGUGCUGGAAAGGACUGACAGGAUGUUGGGUUGUCUUGGGUGAUUUGGGGGAGGAUUUAAGGAAGCAGGGAUUUGCUCUGGCUUGGAUGCUAUGACGAAGCAGGAGUAAUUCUAUGAUUGUGUAUCUCAAUAAAUUUUAUCUGUAAGGAGGCCAGAAUAUACUGAGGAUAAAGCUAUAAUUGGUAAAGUAGCAUCAGGCACUCAUAUUAACUAGGAGUGGUGGGGGCGGGGGAUCUUUGGUAUUUUGUAGUUUGAGCAUUAUUCUUGGUUUUGUCUGUGUUAGAUAUGAUGACAGAGUGAUCUUGUUUUAGUCUUGAUACAUCUUGGUCACAGAAUGGCCUUGUCUGAUGUUGAUUUUCUGUGAAAUUAUUUUUGUUCACUAGGAGAACACCAGGGCCUAGCAAUCAGUGCCAGGACAGCUUCUAGCAACAUCCAUAUGGGAGUCAGGGAAUACUUUUCUCUUUCUCACCUUGUGUCAUGAAGACCGAAGUCUGAUCUGCAUUGAAUAACCCAUGCAGCUUAUUAAAAUAUAGAUCUUAGGACUCUGUCCCCAGAUCUAUUGAAUUAAUGUCUAGGGGUAGGGCUUGGAAGUCUGUAUUUCUAAUUAGCAUGAUGCAUCAUUCUUAUGUACACCAGAAUCUAAAGCCUACUGGUCUAAAAGAGAGGUAUCACAAACAUGUUUAUAAGCUGAGAUUUGUGGUAACAGUUCUCAAUGUGAGACAUCAAGAGCCAAACAAAGUGUAUGUUUAAAUUUUCAUUAGCAUCAAGUUCCAGCACUUUGGAAUUACAGGAUUUUCACUCAGUGGAACCAGCCUUUGAAUUUACAAGGUUAUCUGUUCUUAUACCUUGUGUGCCAGUUUUAGAAAAACCUCAACUAAGGAGGUCAACCUGUAAGUGACAGAAGAGAAGGGGCUGAUCAUCUAUUACCAUAAAUCAAUAAAAGGUAGACACCAGUAGAAAGGCUGCUGCCAAACAGAGAAAAAAAAUCCAACAACAUUGAGGAAUUGCUUCCAAAGUCAGUGAGAACAUUCACAAGGAUAAAGCACAAUUCCAGAGGCAGAGCUUUUCAAGAUGCAUAACUGAAAUCCCAUUUAACAAGGCAAACUACAGAUCAGAAAUGAGAUGCCUUAACUGUAAAACGUCUAGUAAAAUUACUGCAGAUAGAAACACAAAAAUCUUCUUCAAAGGAAAAUUCUCAAGAAAGAAUACAAAGAAAGCAGAAAUGAAUGUUAAUUUAUUCUAAAACCACAACUAGGGAGAUAUUUGGCCUUCUCAAGAGUCAGAGAAGGACUACCAAAGUCUAACUAAGAAAGAGCCUAACGAACUUUCAAUCCGAUUUUGAGGCAUUAGCGAGAUUUCCCUGUUAAGAUGACAGGGGCAAGGAGACUUGAGGCUCAGACAUGGCCACCAAGUCUAGAUCAGAACAUUUUAUGUUCCUAUUGAAUUUUCCUACUCUUCGGAUGUAGAAGAACUGAGCUCACCACAAUCAAAUAACCCCACCAAAGCUUUCCUAAUAGGAAGUUAGGAAAUGAGUCUUCUUAGCCUGAAUAAUGUGUUUUGUCUUAAAGUCUAUUUUGUCUGUAAUCUCCACAGGCAGAGAGUCUGCAUCUAUAGCUCAUUACCAUUAUUCUGAUGAUAAUGUUACGUCUCAUCAAUUACUUGGGAGGAAGGUCAAAUUUAGCAGCCAAAUCUCCCCUUUGAAGGGUCAAGCAAGGAUGGUUGAGAAAAUCAUGGAGACAUAAAAAAGGGGAAGAACCUGCAUGUAAGAGAGAAGAUACUGUGUGACUUUGUAAAUAGAUAUUGGAAAUUAGAGGUGGAGGUCAGUCAAUACCUUGAUUUCAUCCUCAAGGAAGAGUUAACACCUGUAUCAAGCUGUCAGCAUAUAAAUGCCCUUCAUUCCAGCAGCUGCUGUCAGCAUAGUUCAUGGCUUGGCCUCCUUCAGCAAAGAGGACUGCCUGAACCAGGGCUGAGCCCCUUCACAGUCGCACUCUGGAAAUGUUGAAGCUCAAAGGUAAGGUCUUUUUUUUCUAGUAGAAUUCU